GCCUACGGGGGGCAGCAGUAGGGAAUCUUCCACAAUGGGCGAAAGCCUGAUGGAGCAACGCCGCGUGGGUGAAGAAGGUCUUCGGAUCGUAAAACCCUGUUGUUAGAGAAGAAAGUGCGUGAGAGUAACUGUUCACGUUUCGACGGUAUCUAACCAGAAAGCCACGGCUAACUACGUGCCAGCAGCCGCGGUAAUACGUAGGUGGCAAGCGUUAUCCGGAUUUAUUGGGCGUAAAGGGAACGCAGGCGGUCUUUUAAGUCCGAUGUGAAAGCCUUCGGCUUAACCGGAGUAGUGCAUUGGAAACU
rnacentral:rRNA from 1 species